AUGGAGGAUCACUAACAGGAGCGUGGGAAGACUCCAGAAUCCACUCUGGCUGGAAUCCGGUGGAUACAGCAGUGUUACAGGUACAGUACGUGAUAUUAAGGGCAGGCGGUCAUCACCGGGGGAAGACAAGAAGCAGACGUACUUCCAAGAGGGAGCUGCAGUGAGGACACAGCCUGGUCACUGAGGAGGCGCUGAAAGGUUUCCCUAAUAGUUCCUGGUGAAUCAAAGCAGAACUGUAAAGGUUGCUGGACUGCAUGAUGGCCUUACCCCUGAGAAGUCAUCCUGUUAAAGGAGGAACCAGUUAGAAGCUGUUUUCAAAGUAGCUGAGCAGAUUUCAUCUCAACAGACAAAGCCGAUGGCAGAAGAUGUUUGGAGAAGAACUUCAGGUCGUGGACUGAAAAGUAGAUCAAAGCAGCUCGUGCUCUGUCUGCUUCCAUUCUGAUGGCAAGAAGAAGAAGAAGGAGAAGACUUCAGCGAAGUGGCGUUCAUGGUCUCAGUGGACAGUCAUGGUCACACACUGCAUGUGGUUUUAAAUGCAAUAUUGUUCACCACAACAAUGGAGAUGUGUAAUAUCAGUGCAGCUACGGUUUGUUCUUGAACAUCAGUUCUGUUUUCUACUUUGACCACUUAGACCAAAAAAAGUGUUGUUUUCAGAUUCUUUCUUUUUAAAUCUAUGAAGCACCUGUUCAUUUUUUAUUACAAUUAGUUUCACAUAAAUGUUAGUGUUUCCUUUAUGAUCUUUUAAUGCUUACGCUACACUGUACACGUCUACAUUAGAGACAUUUCUGUUACCUAUUUAUGAGACUGGGCUGCUUGACUACAAUUUGG
ensembl:lncRNA